AAGUUUAGGUUCACCAAACCGAGAGCCUUCAAAGCCCUAAACAGGGAAUACACCCUAACUUCUG
rnacentral:tRNA from 1 species